UACGUAGGGGGCAAGCGUUGUCCGGAAUUAUUGGGCGUAAAGAGCGUGUAGGCGGCCAGGUAGGUCUGCUGUGAAAACUCGAGGCUCAACCUCGAGCUGUCGGUGGAAACCAUCUGGCUAGAGUCCGGAAGAGGAGAAUGGAAUUCCUGGUGUAGCGGUGAAAUGCGCAGAUAUCAGGAAGAACACCCGUGGCGAAGGCGGUUCUCUGGGACGGUACUGACGCUGAGACGCGAAAGCGUGGGGAGCGAACAGG
rnacentral:rRNA from 1 species